CUAGUAUUCAAUUCACUAACAUAGUAUGUCAAUGUCAUUUAAAAUUCUCCUAAAGUCGAAUUAAAAUGUCAUGAAUGGGCUAUCAAGUAAUCAACGCUCAAUUUAAUACUUGACUGAUGAUAUAAAGUAUGGGCUUAAAGGUGCAAUAUAAAAAAUAGUGAGUACAUAUAAUCUGCAACUGACUUACAUCGACUACAUGUUUCUCAUUUCCAAUGUGUUAGAUGUUCACCCAAAAAGUUAAAACAAACUCAAAAAUAGCGAGUACAUGAUAAUGUAUAACUUUAUGAUCAGUAAUGAUCAUAUGUGGCUCUUACACAGUCCCUAAUGUAUAACUGUAUGAGUCAGUAAUGAUCAUAUGUGGCUCUUCCAUGUACAGUCCCUAACCCGCUGCAGACUUCAUUCUUGUCGGGGUGCUGAUCAUUUGCAGUCUUACUCCCUUCCCUUACUCGUGUGUUGUACCUUGCGAAAUUUGUUGAACUGCGAUCUGUCAUAUAGCCUGUUGAGACUGGCAUGAACUCACAUAGAAGGAAGCAUAGUAGAACAUCUGAACACUCUGCAACUUAUUUCCAACUCCAGCUUAUCUUUUUUUUUUCCCUCAAAAGUGUUUCUCUAUUGCAUAGUCCUGCAAAAAAAUAAAAUAUAUUUACCCACAAACCUCUUUUGAUGCCUCAUAGGAUGAGGACCAACUUUAGAAAGAGGGUCAAGGUCAGAACAUAUAUAUGUUUAUAAGAAUGGAACUCGGAGGCCUCAAUUCAAGUAGAGGUAGAAGCCUUCUUAUUAAAAGGUGAUACAGAAAGACAAAAAAGUAAGCAAUAUAUUACACUAAUUUUUAUCGAUUUAUAACAAAUAACAAAAACUUCAGUAAAAUCAAAAUGUAAACAAUGGAUUACACAUAGCGUAAUUUCUUUCCAUCUCCAGCUUAUAUUUUUUUUUCCUCGAAAGUGUCUCUCUAUUGCAUAGUCCUGGGAAAAACAAAAUAUAUUUACUUACAAAUUAACAUUAGCAAGUUGAAGCAAAUAAAAUCAAAACUUUUUUUGAUGUUUCGUAGAAUGAUGACUAACUGCACUUAAAAAAGAGGGUCAGGUCGGCCCGUUGAGCUAGCUUAAAAAAAGAUAUACGUUCGUAAGAAUGGAACCUGGAGGUCUCAUUGACUCAUUGUAGAGGUAGAAGCCUUCUUAUUUAAAAGGUGAUAUAUUCAUUACACAAAGACUAAAAAUAAGUAAUGGAUUACACUGAUUCUAACAAAAAACAAAAACUUAAAUAAAAUCCAAAUGUAACAAUUAAUAUCAAAAGAAAAUAAUUCAAUUUUAAUCCAUCUUCCAUCUUAAAAUAUGUAGAAAUCAUGUUGUUAUGAAAUAUUGUUAUUGGCCAAUUAAGGUUAUAGGUCUACUAACACUUACCUAGAGUUGAAACUAAAAGCCAACACUAAUUGAACCCAUCAUCAAACUAAAAGCAAUCACCCAAACUGUACUUGUAAAUCUAUGGAACCCUUUGCUUUCACCUAUAUAAUCAAGACAAAAUAUCAAAAGUUCCAUAAAACUUAAUUAAACUCCUCACCAUCAUCAAGCAUAAGAAUCAAGGGUAUAUAAAUCCAACACAAAAAUGAUAAAUUUAUAGAGCCAAAAAAAAAUACAACCAAACAAAAGAUAAAUACGCAAGUCAGAUAUACUAUCUUAGCUUCUGGGGCUAAAGAGAUAUGGAACAUCAAUUUUUCUCUUCCUCGUUGAGUGUUGAUGCAAAAUUAAGGAAAUAAUCCAAUGAAAAAAACAACAACAACAUCAGAUUAAUUUAUCGAUGGAUCGAUUUUAAUUCAACAAAAUACACUAUAAUUAGAUAUAUCGAUUGAUAAUCGAAUAGCAAAAGAUGUUAUUUAAAAAAAAAAAAUAGCUUACCUUGAGGGAAGAGAUCGGAGAGUAGUGGAAGAGAUGAAUUUAUAGUUUUGCAAGUGUAGCUCUGGGGUUGACGCAGACUUAAUUGUGAAUAUUAAACGUGGUUGGCGUAGUUGAACUGUUGAAGCUCUGGUGUUGACUAACAAAGUAGAAGCUGUGAGAAGGAGAUAAAAGAACUAAAAACUUGUCCAGAGUCCAAACACAAACGUUUGGGCUUUAGGCCAUCACUUAUGUUUGUUUGGCCCAAGGACAAGGG
rnacentral:lncRNA from 1 species